rnacentral:rRNA from 1 species
UGAGGAAUAUUGGUCAAUGGGCGAGAGCCUGAACCAGCCAAGUAGCGUGCAGGAUGACGGCCCUAUGGGUUGUAAACUGCUUUUAUGUUGGGAUAAAGUGCGUGACGUGUCAUGCAUUGCAGGUACCACAUGAAUAAGGACCGGCUAAUUCCGUGCCAGCAGCCGCGGUAAUACGGAAGGUCCGGGCGUUAUCCGGAUUUAUUGGGUUUAAAGGGAGCGUAGGCUGUCUAUUAAGCGUGUUGUGAAAUUUACCGGCUCAACCGGUGGCUUGCAGCGCGAACUGGUCGACUUGAGUAUGCAGGAAGUAGGCGGAAUUCAUGGUGUAGCGGUGAAAUGCUUAGAUAUCAUGACGAACUCCGAUUGCGCAGGCAGCUUACUGUAGCAUAACUGACGCUGAUGCUCGAAAGUGCGGGUAUCAAACAGG